UGUAUCUGAAGUCUGACGAGGAUGAGAACCUCCGGGGGCAAGAGGUUCGACCCGAGCGAAGCGAGAGAACGUUGCGUCAGCAACGGCCCGCAGGGCGAGCCACGCAGUGGCGAGUCAUCCUCUAUCACCAACCA
rnacentral:sRNA from 1 species